CGCUCUGUUUACAUCGGCCUGCUAGCGACCUCCUAAUCUCCCUGAAGGAGAACAUCCUCAGAGGAAUUCCCAUAUCAGUCCAUUCACUAUGUCAGGCUGGUCUUGCUGAAGCCAGUGGCUACCUUCUGACAAAAUGACAAGAAUAGUCUAUGUGACUCAACAAGGAAACUUUGCAACAGACAGAAGUCACUACAGAAAGCUGCAACCAAUCAAAAUGCGGAAUCAUGGAGCCUAGUCCCGGUGGUCACAUCUACAAAAUAUUUCCACAUCUGAGGCUCAGUGAACAUUUCAGAAGAUGGGGCAGAAAGAUUUUAAGGGCCAGAGGAUCAGGGAGUUUACUGUGAGACUGUCUCCUAGUAAUGUCAGAAGCUGCACCUACAUGACUGUCAGAACAUAAGCUGAACCAUGAUGAUAUUGAUGGACAUGCCACAGCAGAUGAAGAAAAACCCACGGGGCCUCAACUCUACAAAGAGAACUCUAGGCAACAGAGGAAAGCUGGGGACAGGAGAGGUGGCUAUCCCCAAGGAAAAGCACAUGGAUUGGUUGUCCAGUGCCAGCGGCCAGCCCUGAAGAUGUACAUACAAUAAUAUUAUACAUGCUGAAUAGGUAAUGUAUAGGAAUACAUAUGUAUAUACACACAUGGUAGUGAAAAAGAGGUCGAGGAUUUCAAGGAGAGUAGGGAGAGAGAUAUGUGAGAUUUUCAGCGAGGAGAGGGAAAGGAGAAAUGCCAAAUUAUCAUCUCAAAAAAGAAAAAAAAACAUAGGACUUGGUUGAAACUAGAGAAACAAUUAACUUUAUAUCUCAUUUACAACUGUUGUGUCCUUUCUACGUGUUUCACUUGUUCUCAUAAUCUUACCCUUGAUCUCCUCUCAAAAUGUUACGCCACAUGCACGUUUACAACUGUUUACACAGACACUUGUAUACAUUAUAGGCUAUACGCUAUAUCUUACAAAAACAUAAAGACACAAACGACAUUAAGUAAAUGGUCUUCUAUGAGAGAGGGAGGGAGCGGGGUGGACAGACAGACAGACAGACAAGCCAGACUGCCCUGAAUAUACUCUGUUUAAGCCCUGAUAUGGAAUGCUACAAAUGUUUUAUGUAACAUCAAAGAAGUUAAUCCUGCCUUAAGUUUGUUUUGAAAAUAUAAAUAAGAUUUCAUGAUUCACAUAUUCUUUCUAAAAACAACACACAGAUUUUGUGUGAUGGAAGUAUCUAGAAACCCCAUAACAAUGAUCAUCUUGAAUCCACACUGUGGUCUCUAAAUACCAUUUCUUAGUAAAAUAAAUGACAGUUCCUCG